ensembl:misc_RNA
AGGGGCCGGUGCCUUCGGCAGCCUCGGGGAGGGGAAGGGAGGCGGCGCACACCGGCCAUUUUCAGCUGGGCUCCCGUGGAGCUAAGUUUGGAAUCUGUGACCUGGAGGUG